UACGAAGGAUUCGAGCGUUAUCCGGAUUUAUUGGGCGUAAAGGGUGUGUAGGUGGCGCCGUAAGUCGGGUGUGAAAUUUCGGAGCUUAACUCCGAAACUGCAUUCGAUACUGCGGUGCUUGAGGACUGGAGAGGAGACUGGAAUUCAUGGUGUAGCAGUGAAAUGCGUAGAGAUCAUGAGGAAGACCAGUGGCGAAGGCGGGUCUCUGGACAGUUCCUGACACUGAGACACGAAGGCCAGGGGAGCAAACGGG
rnacentral:rRNA from 1 species